rnacentral:rRNA from 1 species
UACGUAGGGUGCGAGCGUUAAUCGGAAUUACUGGGCGUAAAGGGCGCGUAGGCGGCUUGACAAGUCACUUGUGAAAUCUCCGGGCUUAACUCGGAACGGCCAAGUGAAACUGUCAUGCUAGAGUGCAGAAGGGGCAAUCGGAAUUCUUGGUGUAGCGGUGAAAUGCGUAGAUAUCAAGAGGAACACCUGAGGUGAAGACGGGUUGCUGGGCUGACACUGACGCUGAGGCGCGAAAGCCAGGGGAGCAAACGGG